AGCAGCCGCGGUAAUUCCAGCUCCAAUAGCGUAUAUUAAAGUUGUUGCAGUUAAAAAGCUCGUAGUUGAACUUCGGAAUUUGUUCAUUGGUCAGGCUUAACUGUCUGUACUGGUGUUUACGAAUUUCUACCUUCUGAGGAAUCUUCAUGCCAUUAAUUUGGUGCGGGGGGAAUCAGGACUGUUACUUUGAAAAAAUUAGAGUGUUUAAAGCAGGCCAACGUCUGAAUACAUUAGCAUGGAAUAAUAAAAUAGGACGGUUUGGUUCUAUUUUGUUGGUUUCUAGGAUCACCGUAAUGAUUAAUAGGGAUAGUUGGGGGCAUUAGUAUUCAAUUGUCAGAGGUGAAAUUCUUGGAUUUAUUGAAGACUAACUACUGCGAAAGCAUUUGCCAAGGAUGUUUUCAUUAAUCAAGACGAAAGUUAGGGGAUCGAAGACGAUCAGAUACCGUCGUAGUCUUAACCAUAAACUAUGCCGACUAGGGAUCGGACGAAGUUAUUUUUAAAUG
rnacentral:rRNA from 1 species